GACGAACCGAGCGAACGUUGUUCGGAAUCACUGGGCUUAAAGGGCGCGUAGGCGGGUGCUCAAGUCCGUGGUGAAAUCCUCCGGCUCAACCGGAGAACUGCCUCGGAUACUGGGUGCCUCGAGGGUGGUAGGGGUAUGCGGAACUAUCGGUGGAGCGGUGAAAUGCGUUGAUAUCGAUAGGAACUCCGGUGGCGAAAGCGGCGCGCUGGACCUCUUCUGACGCUGAGGCGCGAAAGCCAGGGGAGCAAACGGG
rnacentral:rRNA from 1 species